GCGGGUGUAACUCAGUUGGUAGAGUGCAACCUUGCCAAGGUUGAUGUCGCGAGUUCGAAUCUCGUCACCCGCU
rnacentral:tRNA from 1 species